rnacentral:sRNA from 1 species
AAAUGGAUAAUUAUAUAAAUUUGAAAGGGAUACAAUGCAAAAGUUUUGGAAGAACAAUUCUUAAAUUCACUCCAAGGGAUGUUAUAUAGGUUAACAAAAAUAUUUUACAGCGUUUAUGUCUCGUUUAUUUGCUCUGUUAAAACAAAACGACAUCGUCUACUUCAACUUCCUUCUUCCGUUUUCUCUUCUUUCGAUUUGAUUUGAGCUGAGGAACAUCGUUCGUCUCCUCGCCAGAUGGGAUUUGAAUCGAUUCGGCUUCUAUAGGAUUUGAGAUAAUGAAAUCAAUUUGAGGAUUUAGGGUUUAAAUUUGUUUCAACAGACAAAACGCCGUCUUUUGUCUAGCAAUAAACGACAUCGUUUUGUUCUAAUAGAGCAGAUAAACGGAACAUUAACAUCGUAAAAAGUUUUGUUAAUCUAUUUAACGACAUGACUCAAAUGGCAAAUCAACAAAAACUUUGUCAUUUAUUUAGAAAGUCAACAAAAAUAUUACGAUUUAUUUGUCUUAUGUGAAGUUCAAGAUUAAAUCGUCCCAAAUUUAAAGUUGGUGAUUUUUUUGACAUUUUCCCCUAAUAAAACCUCCCUAUUUUU